CCAGACUCCUACGGGAGGCAGCAGUGAGGAAUAUUGGUCAAUGGGCGAGAGCCUGAACCAGCCAAGUCGCGUGAAGGAUGACGGCCCUACGGGUUGUAAACUUCUUUUGUCAGGGAGCAAUUGGGUCCACGCGUGGGCUUAGCGAGAGUACCUGAAGAAAAAGCAUCGGCUAACUCCGUGCCAGCAGCCGCGGUAAUACGGAGGAUGCGAGCGUUAUCCGGAUUUAUUGGGUUUAAAGGGUGCGCAGGCGGCACGGCAAGCCGGCGGUCAAAUCGCGGGGCUCAACCCCGCCCAGCCGUCGGAACUGCCGGGCUAGAGUGGGCGAGAAGUGCGCGGAAUGCGUGGUGUAGCGGUGAAAUGCAUAGAUAUCACGCAGAACUCCGAUUGCGAAGGCAGCGCACCGGCGCCCUACUGACGCUCAGGCACGAAAGCGUGGGUAUCGAACAGGAUUAGAUACCCUCGUA
rnacentral:rRNA from 1 species